GACGAACGCUGGCGGCGUGCCUAAUACAUGCAAGUUGAGCGCUGAAGGUUGGUACUUGUACCAACUGGAUGAGCAGCGAACGGGUGAGUAACGCGUGGGGAAUCUGCCUUUGAGCGGGGGACAACAUUUGGAAACGAAUGCUAAUACCGCAUAAAAACUUUAAACACAAGUUUUAAGUUUGAAAGAUGCAAUUGCAUCACUCAAAGAUGAUCCCGCGUUGUAUUAGCUAGUUGGUGAGGUAAAGGCUCACCAAGGCGAUGAUACAUAGCCGACCUGGGAGGGUGAUCGGCCCCAUUGGGACUGAGACACGGCCCAAACCCCUAAGGGAGGCAGCAGUAGGGAAACUUCGGCAAUGGACGACAGUCUGACCGAGCCACGCCGCGUGAGUGAAGAAGGGUUUCGGAUCGUAAAACUCUGUUGGUAGAGAAGAACGUUGGUGAGAGUGGAAAGCUCAUCAAGUGACGGUAACUACCCAGAAAGGGACGGCUAACUACGUG
rnacentral:rRNA from 1 species